rnacentral:tRNA from 1 species
UAGAUAGCUUAGUCGGUAGAGAAUGAGACUCUUAAUCUCAGGGUUGUGGGUUCGAGACCCACAUUGGGCAAAA